rnacentral:lncRNA from 1 species
GCCUAACCGGUAGUCCCUGAAUAGCUCAGGCAGUAGAGGCUUUGCUCUCGACUACUAACGUCGAAGGAUCGAAUCCCAGCAAGAGUCUAUGGCGCUAUGGGCCGCCCGUACCCUUGGUAAAGCUCUGGGAGAGAAAAAUGUGUUCCUCAAAAUAUUGAGAAGUUCCCAUUUACAAAGCGUUGGCUGCGUUACGCUGCAUGCAAUUUGGAUAAUUGGUGUAAAUAACGAGUGUAGCUAACGAGUAAGCAAGUAGUAAGGUCAUCACGAAGGACCACAACAAGCAGAAUAAGCACGUCGUAACGCGGUGUAAGGUUUUCGCCUUCCUAUCUGUGAGGUCG